AAAUUCUGAUAAUUUUGGUACUUAAUGGGAUGUGAUAUGUGAUAUUGUUAGAUUAAUUAUUAACUAGUGUAGUAAUUCGUGCGAUGCGACAGAUAAAUAAGUAGAGAAAAAAUAAAAAACAGCAACAAAAAAAGAGAAAACUACGAUAAAAGAAGUGACGAUAAGGGGAGGAAUUCAUCUUGUUGAUAAAGGAAGGUAAGAGCCGAAGGAAGUGGAAGAGGAAUAGUUCGGCUCAAUGUAGAGGUAUGAUCCAGUUCGAUUCAAUCACAAAAA
rnacentral:lncRNA from 1 species